rnacentral:rRNA from 1 species
CCUACGGGAGGCAGCAGUGGGGAAUAUUGCACAAUGGGGGGAACCCUGAUGCAGCGACGCCGCGUGAGUGAAGAAGUAAUUCGUUACGUAAAGCUCUAUCAGCAGGGAAGAAAUACUGACCUUACGGUCAGCAGACGGUACCUGAGGAAGAAGCCCCGGCUAACUACGUGCCAGCAGCCGCGGUAAUACGUAGGGGGCAAGCGUUAUCCGGAGUUACUGGGUGUAAAGGGAGCGUAGACGGUGCGCCAAGUCUGGAGUGAAAUGCCGGAGCUUAACUGCGGAACUGCUUUGGAAACUGGCGAACUAGAGUGCGGGAGGGGUAAGCGGAAUUCCUAGUGUAGCGGUGAAAUGCGUAGAUAUUAGGAGGAACACCGGUGGCGAAGGCGGCUUACUGGACCGUAACUGACGUUGAGGCUCGAAAGCGUGGGGAGCAAACAGGAUUAGAUACCCGGGUAGUC